rnacentral:lncRNA from 1 species
AAAUGUUAUAGGGACCCUAAAAUGCCAUGGUUGGAGCAGCUUGGACUUCCCCAUUUCUUCAUCUACUUCCCUUUUACUGGGGAGGAAGGAGAUGGGGUAGGCAGGGGAAGGUGACCCCGCUGGUUCCCCAGUUAAUGCUCUGCUUGGGUGGCUGCCUUCCUGCCCUUCGAAUGGGGCCCUGGACCUGUUUGAGCAUGCAUCAGAUGUCACCUCUCUGGUAGCACAUCCCCUCCCUCCCCAUGUUCACUUGCAGUGAGUCUACUGCAUUGUUGAAACACAGAAAAGAUCUUGCAGGGUGCAUUCCUGGCCUCUUCUGCUAGCAGCUGCAGUCACACAGACACCAUUUCUGUGGGUUUUUUUUUUUUUUUUUUUCAUUCCGCUUCCCCUCACUCAGCUGCUGUCGGAAUUUCUGGUCUUUCCUCUCCCUGUCUUCCUGUGACAAAGGAAUGCCACAGCCUUAGGCUUGCUGCCUCUUUGCCUUAGGAAAGGUUAGCCUUUACAGAAGUCAUCUUGCCAGAGGAGAUGGAAGAGUGGAGUCUGUAAUCAUCUGGAAUUUCCUACUUUGGUAACAGGGAAGCAGGCAUCUGUUGUUUGUCCCUGUUGAUGGAAAAAGAGCAGUGUACAGCCGGAUGGCAUGGAGGAUGGAAGGAAGCUCAUGGGUUCCAAGAGAGAAGCAUAGUCUUAGCCUUGCCGUGUUUCUGAACUCCUCAUGGUCUCAUUCAGCAAAGCAUUCCCAAGUGCCCACUGUGUACCCGGCAAUGUGAUAACAGAUCAAGUUGCUUCCUUUCCUUAUGAACUCUUACAGUCUCUUUGACUGAGGUUUAAUAAAACAAAAUACAACAA